UACGUAGGGGGCUAGCGUUGUCCGAAGUUACUGGGCGUAAAGCGCGCGUAGGCGGGUUGGUAAGUCCGCUGUGAAAGCCCGGAGCUUAACUCCGGAGGGUCGGUGGAUACUGCCAGUCUUGAAGGUGCUAGGGGGAGAUGGAAUUACCGGUGUAGCGGUGAAAUGCGUAGAUAUCGGUAGGAACACCAGUGGCGAAGGCGGUCUCCUGGGGCAUUCUUGACGCUGAGGCGCGAAAGCUGGGGGAGCAAACGGG
rnacentral:rRNA from 1 species